GUCCCUGUUGUGGAAUGGAUAGCACGUGGAUUGCUAAUCCAAAAGUCGUGGGUUCGAAUCCCACCAGGGAUG